rnacentral:lncRNA from 1 species
CACCGGCCUUGGCUGCCCUCCCGGGAAACCGUGGCCUGCGACUAAGCCUUCUGUUCCAGCUCAUGAUUGGUUGGCCGGCCGGCAAUGCUGACGCCUGAUUGGCUGAGAGGAAGAAGGGCUCAGCUCUUGCUGGCUCAGCGAGGCAAGAACACUGGGAUCUGAGAGCGGAGAGAGCAGCAAUCUAAGGCUGUCUGGGGGCAACUCCUUUCCUGGCUUCCCACUGCCCUGUCUGGCUCACCUCCAACCCAUCCAGGAUCCUGGCACCUGGCAGCUGUGUGAAGAGAGCCAGGAGGGAGGCAGCCCUCUGGAUAUCAGACCUCCUCAGGCCUGCCCUUCCACCGGGACCCUGGCUCCGCGUGGUGCCCUCAGGAGAGCCCGGACUGCCGGGUCCCCACCCCCACCACAUCCCAAGAUGGACAAGGACAAUAAAAGCUAUUUCACAAG